AUUGAACGCUGGCGGCAUGCCUAACACAUGCAAGUCGAGCGGUAACACAGGGAGCUUGCUCCUGGGUGACGAGCGGCGGACGGGUGAGUAAUGUCUGGGAAACUGCCUGAUGGAGGGGGAUAACUACUGGAAACGGUAGCUAAUACCGCAUAACGUCGCAAGACCAAAGAGGGGGACCUUCGGGCCUCUUGCCAUCAGAUGUGCCCAGAUGGGAUUGGCUAGUAGGUGGGGUAACGGCUCACCUAGGCGACGAUCCCUAGCUGGUCUGAGAGGAUGACCAGCCACACUGGAACUGAGACACGGUCCAGACUCCUACGGGAGGCAGCAGUGGGGAAUAUUGCACAAUGGGCGCAAGCCUGAUGCAGCCACGCCGCGUGUAUGAAGAAGGCCUUCGGGUUGUAAAGUACUUUCAGCGGGGAGGAAGGCGAUAAGGUUAAUAACCUUGUCGAUUGACGUUACCCGCAGAAGAAGCACCGGCUAACUCCGUGCCAGCCGCCGCAGUAA
rnacentral:rRNA from 1 species